CCUGAGUCAGGAAACACUGAAGAUUCACCGAACUGAUGAAGUUUGAGGAAACAAGCUGAAACAUUUCUUGAGCUUCACGUGACCCUCAGGAAACAGAAACUGAGGAAUCGUUCAGAAGACGAAUAAAGAACACGUGGUUUCAUCAGACGGACGGAGUCGUGGAGAGAAGCCGACAGGACGUGACUCUCCGUGACGCUCGGAGGCUUUUCAUCAGAAGUGAAGCUUCUCUGAACGAGGACAGAUGUUGCUGCCUCACGUCUGCUGAGGUGUGACGGAUGAAAAACAUCUGCAUCUGCUGGAGGAACUUGAUAAAGAACACGGGAGGAUUUUCUCCUUUUGACGAGUGGUUUCAUU